CGGCGGAGCAUGUUGCUUAAUUCGAUGCAACGCGAAGAACCUUACCUAGGCUUGACAUGCACGGAAAUCUCGCAGAGAUGGGGCGCCGGACAGGUGUGACGAGCGCAACCCUCGUUCUAUGUUGCCAGCGGGAUGUCAAAUAUCAUGCCCCUUAUGUCUAGGCUGCAUACAUGGCCGGUACAAGGGCUGCGAUACCGUAAGGUGGAGCGUCCCAAAAAGCCGGUCCCAGUUCGGAUUGGGGUGCAACUCGACCCCAUGAAGUUGGAGUCGCUAGUAAUCGAGAUCAGCAACGCUGCGGUGAAUACGUUCCCGGGCCUUGUACACACCGCCGUCACGUCACGAAAGUCGGUAACGCCCGAAGCCGGUGGCCCAACCCUUGUGGAGGGAGCCGUCGAAGCGGGAUCGGCGAUUGGGACGAAGUCGUACAAGGU
rnacentral:rRNA from 1 species